UAUGAGCGACUUUCGGAAGCGACUACCAAUGAGAAAGAAGCAGUGGAGUUUACGUCAUCCGUCUCUGGUCAGUUAGGAGUGGACGUUACUCAUUUGUUUAUGGCAACCAGAUAUAAACGCCUCUUUUGAAAGAGACGAGCGACACACAGCGACAAAGUAGCUUAUAAUGUUUUUAUUGUUUACCUCAACGCGACCCUCAGUUGACAGACCACUAACAGAUUACUCGAAAAUUUGAAUAUGCAGCCUGCACUUUCGUCAGGAGGACUUUGAGUACUGUUUUCAGCCCAGUUUUCCCGCGGACUCAGGUAAUGUAAAAUGGUCAAAAUAUCUACAUAAUCUGUCUUAGUUGUUGCUUGUUUUGUGUUACUACGGUAAACAUACUACGUAGAAAGUUAUCAUCAUGUUAUUAUUAUGAAACCGAGCAAAGCAAGCUAACGUUAGCUCGUCCUGUGCAGCUGUCAAUCAAAGAACGAUAUCAUCUACUGUCAAUCAUCUCGCCACAAGACCCGCCCCCAUUCAUGCACGUGACGUCACCUUGGGGGAAAGUGACUGCAAAAGACAGAGCGGCAGAAUUUGUGUACAGUGUGAAAUCAGCGAAAACACGGGGACAUCAGCUGUGGUGCGAUAGAGUGUACUAACAGAUUUACCAAGAAUUCGUAGCUAUCGUUUUACAGACUGCCAAGAAACACCGAAAGGAGAAGUAAAUGGAUCGUCCAUGCCAACGUCCACUGACCACAGAUAUCAUCUGAUAGAGCAGGUAUAGCACCGUCCGAGGGCAGGACCGGCCGAGGAGCGUCCGUCGGCAGGACCUGCUGUGCAGAUAUCCUUUGAUAGAGCAGGUAUAGCAGCGUCCGUCGGCAGGACCGGCCGAGGAGCGUCCGUCGGCAGGACCGGCCGAGGAGCGUCCGUCGGCAGGACCGGCCGAGGAGC